GCUCAUUUAAGGGAUAGCUCAGUCGGUAGAGCGUGAGACUUUUAAAUCUCAGGGUGAUGGGUUCGAGUCCCACACUCGGCCGGGCA